ensembl:lncRNA
UGCCUUUAGAGAGCCAGAUCAAAGAUAGAUUGCUAGAGAGAUGGGUACUCUGCCCAGAAGGCAGGCGGAGAAAGUGGGUGCCUGUCACCGGAAUUAGAUAGGCAAGGGAUAGGUGCCCUUCGCGGAAGAUAGACGGGCUGAUGGGAUAAAAGCCUUUCAGAAAAGAUGGAUGACCAGAGAGAGAGAGAAAGAGAGCAAGGGGUGCAAAAACUUCUCCUGGGCGUCCAUAAAGCACACUUCCCCCACAGCCAAGGGUGUUCUAGCGGAUUCCAAGCCUUUCCGCCUCCUCGCGGCUGCAAGAAUAAAGCAGAAGCUUUGCUGGCUGGAUUUCGUUGCGAAGUCGCACCUGGAUCUUCGUCCACUCCUGCCAGUUUCCAGCAUAACCGGCCGAGACAUCAUCUUCCCGGCGUCCAAGCAGCCCUAACUGGAGCCCUCUUCCUCUCUUCGGUGGAGAAAGGAACGAUGGAAAACCCAGCUCCGUGGCCCCACAGAUACUGGCCGGAGGAUUCCCACGUUCCCAUUGAUCCGUGCAACGAGGCGUGGGGGAGAAAAAGCCACGGGAUUCCCCUGCCUUGCCUUUUUCUGGCGAACGAAACGCGCAUCUUCCCAGGAAAGCGCCUCUUCCAACCCCACCCCCGUCAAUCCUCUAUCAAUCACGUGUCAGACUUCCUAACCAGGAAGGCCCUGUAUUAAAUUAUAGCAACCUCCCCUUUCAACAACAACAACAAUAAGCAUUUGCAACGAAUGCGUAAGAUCCUUCUAUUUAGAACAGUCCAAAGCAGAACUACUGAAGGCGGGAGCCCCUCCUGGCCAACCCCUCAAACUUAAGGGAGAUCUGGACCAGACCAAGUCACUGCUGAUCAGCCGGAUGGAUCCACUCCCUGCUUCAACGCCCCUCAGCAGGGCAGGGCGAGGGGGAGUCGGUCUCCAAGCCCCUCCACCGGGCUCGAGCCCACCCGCUUCCCCUUUCCCACCCCAGCAGCCCCCCUCAGCGACCUCUGGAUGGGGUGAGAGGAGGGACAGAGGAAGCAGCCCUGACUGGCAAAACAGGCAUCUCUCCCCCACCCACGAGGGUUCCCAUAUGGGGAAACGAAGUACGUGUCCCGGAUAAACAAGCACACGUGCACCAGAAACAGGGGGGGCACAGGCGAGCCGCCCUCCCCUCCAGCCCCACAUGGGGAAAGAAGAGAGCCAGGCCAGUCGGCUUCUUCCGUCCACAGACCCUUCCCCACUCCCCCCCCCCCGCCUGCCUGCCUGCCUUCACCGCCCCGAUCUGUCAGGCCUGGAGAGAAGAACCCGCUCAAGACCCGGCCCCGUCCGAGAAAGAGCCCCCGUGUGCCACCCUCUCCCCGACCCUCGGACCAAGCAUCUUGCAGGGGUGCGCCGGGCAGCCUCCCUGAGAAGCCCCGAGCAAGAAGACUCUGCUGCCCCCCGGGCCUUUUCGCAUGGGGAAGGGGAAAACCAUUUUUGCUUUCCGUUCCCCUUCCCAAUGAGGCUCCAAAGUCGGCCAGGACAACCGGGAAGGAGGGCCAGCGGGGAAGGGUGUUUCAGACGGAGAAGUCUAGAAACCUCCCUUGCUGUUGGGGAACGCGAAGCGGCUGCGGAGCAGCGCCGGAUUCGCGUUCUCCUGCCUUUCGCCAAAGAUAACGGCGCCCCCCCUGCGCAACCGGAGGCGGCCCAGCUGCUGCGGAAG